rnacentral:rRNA from 1 species
UACGUAGGGGGCAAGCGUUGUCCGGAUUUAUUGGGCGUAAAGAGCGUGUAGGCGGUUUGGUAGGUCCGUUGUGAAAACUCGAGGCCCAACCUCGAGACGCCGAUGGAAACCAUCAGACUAGAGUCCGGAAGAGGAGAGUGGAAUUCCUGGUGUAGCGGUGAAAUGCGCAGAUAUCAGGAAGAACACCCGUGGCUAAGGCGGCUCUCUAGUACGGUACUGACGCUGAGACGCGAAAGCGUGGGGAGCGAACAGG